rnacentral:rRNA from 1 species
GAUGAACGCUGGCGGCGUGCUUAACACAUGCAAGUCGAACGAAGCAUUUACGACAGAUUUCUUCGGAUUGAAGUUGUUUAUGACUGAGUGGCGGACGGGUGAGUAACGCGUGGGUAACCUGCCUUGUACUGGGGGAUAGCAGCUGGAAACGGCUGGUAAUACCGCAUAAGCGCACGGUGCUGCAUGGCACAGUGUGAAAAACUCCGGUGGUAUAAGAUGGACCCGCGUCUGAUUAGCUAGUUGGUGAGAUAACAGCCCACCAAGGCGACGAUCAGAACCCGACCGGAGAGGUUGACCGGCCACAUUGGGACUUAGACACGGCCCAGACUCCGACGGGAGGCAGCAGUGGGGAAUAUUGCACAAUGGAGGAAACUCUGAUGCAGCGACGCCGCGUGAGUGAAGAAGUAAUUCGUUAUGUAAAGCUCUAUCAGCAGGGAAGAUAGUGACGGUACCUGACUAAGAAGCUCCGGCUAAAUACGUGCCAGCAGCCGCAGUAA